AGUGAACGCUGGCGGUAGGCCUAACACAUGCAAGUCGAACGGCAGCACAGUAAGAGCUUGCUCUUACGGGUGGCGAGUGGCGGACGGGUGAGGAAUACAUCGGAAUUUACUUUUUCGUGGGGGAUAACGUAGGGAAACUUACGCUAAUACCGCAUACGACCUACGGGUGAAAGCAGGGGAUCUUCGGACCUUGCGCGAUUGAAUGAGCCGAUGUCGGAUUAGCUAGUUGGCGGGGUAAAGGCCCACCAAGGCGACGAUCCGUAGCUGGUCUGAGAGGAUGAUCAGCCACACUGGAACUGAGACACGGUCCAGACUCCUACGGGAGGCAGCAGUGGGGAAUAUUGGACAAUGGGCGCAAGCCUGAUCCAGCCAUACCGCGUGGGUGAAGAAGGCCUUCGGGUUGUAAAGCCCUUUUGUUGGGAAAGAAAAGCAGCAGGCUAAUACCCCGCUGUUCUGACGGUACCCAAAGAAUAAGCACCGGCUAACUUCGUG
rnacentral:rRNA from 1 species